GAUUUCCAAUAUAUGAAGCACCUUCAUGUAACCAAUCAGAACAGAAGAAGACUUCUUUCUUACCUUGCCAGGUGAGCCCUGUCAUCACAGAUUUCCCUCGCAUCCUGACAAAACCCAGCUGUGUUGGGUCUCAAAUAGACUUUCACUUUCCUCUCCUCUGCAAACAGCCCCCUAAAUCCAUGUCUCAACAAAGACUAACAAAAUGAGCCGGGGUCAGAGCACAAGCCCAAACAUUUCCUCCGUAGACAAAUCAGUGAACACAAUGGCUCUUCCAAAACUUAAAGCCAGGCAUUGGAUUUUCAGAAAGCUCGUCAUAGCCUCUCUUGCAGGGACCACCAAAGCAGUAUCCUGGUCCCAAAGACCGCAACCUCCUGCUAAGCCCCGAUCAGAGAGUCCUUUAUCAGCAGGUGGAUCUUACAAACCUUGCACACUUGCUCAGCAGGUUUCAGGUGAAGAGAAGAAAACCUCCGGUACUAUCCAAAGCGUCGAUUCAACCCUGGAGCUGCUCAAGCUGCCAAAAGAGAUUGACCAGCAGAGGGCGACAAAUGAGACCUUGGCAGAGACACAAAAGAGAAGGACACAGCUACAGCUCUGA
rnacentral:lncRNA from 1 species